rnacentral:sRNA from 1 species
CAACUUGGGAUCCACAGAGAGCCACCAACCACCUGGAUCAAGUCCCAAGCAUGCAGGAUGGCUCUGAGAGUUUUUUCUUCCGACACGGACACCGGGGACUGCGGACUAUGCAACUAAAGUCACCCAUGCCCCCCAGCACCACCCAGAAAGACUCGUACCAGCCACCAGGAAACGUCUGUUGGCCACUUCGAGGGAAGCGUGAAGCCAUGCUGGAGAUGCUCCUGCGGCAUCAAAUCUGUAAAGAGGUGCAGGCAGAACAGGAACUCACAAGGAAGCUCUUCGAGGUUGAGUCUGUGACACACCAUGACUACCGAAUGGAGCUGGCGCAAGCAGGGACUCCUGCCCCAACAAAGCCUCACGACUACCGCCAGGAGCAGCCUGAGACCUUCUGGAUACAGAGGGCACCACAGCUACCGCACCUAGUGAAUACUCAGUAAACAUUUGCGGAAUGAAUGAACACCCUGUCUGCAGCAGGACGUGGACCAAUAGGCUCUGCCAUCAGGAAAUGGGAAGCAAGAAAACAGGCUAAACUCAAGAGGACAGAGGCUGGUGAGGAGGUAAAGCAGGCCCAGUGAAAUGGACCAGACAGCCCAAACUGUCAGAGAGGAGGAAAGCAGGCAUUUGGUUUUGGUAAUUGUGCCAAAGCUAUGUAAGAUAAUGAAUGCCAUUGUCUUAAGGAAA